ensembl:lincRNA 1700066J03Rik RIKEN cDNA 1700066J03 gene
AGACUCUACGCUGCUGCCAGCUUCUCUGGGGAUGGAGAAGCUGACAGAAUACAGUGGGUUACAGAACGAACAGGGAUGAUCCUGGGACUGACAGGGAAGUCAAGGAAACAAGUUUAAUUCAACCGAGGUUCUGGGCACUGAAUUCAGGUCCAUGAGCUUGGCCGGCAAGCACUUCCUGCCUCAGCAUUCCCCGGUGGUGCUAUGGAGUCUUUAAAGAGGUAGUGAUGCCAUCAGCAGAGGCCCUACAUCAGCAGUGCUAGUGUCCAUGCAAGAAGAGGACACAGGGGCACACAUGCUCACACUGGUGAGUCUAUGGGAAGGCACGAGGAGAGGACAGCCAUCUAGACACCAAGGAGAGUGAGCAGGAAGACCCCACUGACAGCUGGAUCUCAGACUUCUGAUCUCCAAGUUUUGGAGAAAAUAAAAUUCUAUUGUUGAAGUGC